UUUUGGCUGUGCACAGGAGAAGAUACUAGGGCAGUGAAGGAGCAAUUAUGUAUAGACUAGACUGCCUUCAGCACUCACUCGCUUCUGAUAAAAGGGCCUGAUUCAGUCUGCACAGUUCCAACCUGUCCUGUGCCACUGAUCUUGAGCAAUCCCCAGGCAAGCACCCUGCUCCCUGAGCAGCCCACAGAAGCACGGGGCUCUCAGAGAACAUAGGAAGAGCUACAACCGUAUUCCAGGUAACCGAACUGCACAAUAAAAAGCAUUCGAUGACACAAUACUUUGUUAGAGGGGGGGAAAAAAAGCACAUUUAAACAAAUGCAGGUUUUGACUGACAGCACUAGGAAAGCUAUGGUGCUUAAACUCACCGAACGCCGUUGACAAAAGCUCUCCGGGGAAGGGGAGCUAUUUGGAGUGCUCUGUACUGCUGUGCCGCGCAGCGCGCAAAGGCGCUCUGUCAUAUAAUAAUUGGUCCUGACCACACCUAGUGCAUUAGUCCUUGUGCGGGCUGCAAAUACAGCCUCAUCGCUCCUGCCUCCCGGAUGAGCAGCUCAGAAGGGGAUCAAACUACAGUACAAACCUUCCAGGAGCCAGAAAUUCAAGGGGCAGCUGCAGAACAGAACCAGAGGAAUAGGAACUUUACGAAGUAGACCCCAUCGUCUACCUGGAGCACAGAAGAACAAGGCAGCAGCCAGCUCCCGACACCUUACCUGCCCUGUGGUGCUGGGAAGAACCAUGCCAGACUCCUUUGCCAUCCACUUCCUCAAGGUCCUGAGGGAGCUGCUGGCCUUCGUGCUGUUCAGCUACACGGUGCUGGUUGGAGCACUGCUGCUCGCCGGCUGGACGACGUACUUCCUUGUGCUUAAAUGACUGCUGCCCUUCUGCUCCGGCAGCCACAGACUGGCCCAAAGCAUCAGGCUCCACGCUCAGCGCACAGGAUGGCAGUCCCUUCCUCCUGCACCGACUCUGCAAGCAUUUUGUUUUGUUACUGCCUAAGCAUAAUCUUAUUUUCUUAUGUAAAAAGGAAAGAUUAAAAAAAAAAAUGUAUCUAUACACAUA